rnacentral:rRNA from 1 species
GAUGAACGCUGGCGGCGUGCCUAAUACAUGCAAGUAGAACGCUGAAGGAAGGAGCUUGCUCUUUCCGGAUGAGUUGCGAACGGGUGAGUAACGCGUAGGUAACCUGCCUGGUAGCGGGGGAUAACUAUUGGAAACGAUAGCUAAUACCGCAUAACAGUAGAUGUUGCAUGAUAUCUACUUAAAAGGUGCAAUUGCACCACUACCAGAUGGACCUGCGUUGUAUUAGCUAGUUGGUGAGGUAACGGCUCACCAAGGCGACGAUACAUAGCCGACCUGAGAGGGUGUCCGCCACACUGGGACUGAGACACGGCCCAGACUCCUACGGGAGGCAGCAGUAGGGAAUCUUCGGCAAUGGACGGAAGUCUGACCGAGCAACGCCGCGUGAGUGAAGAAGGGUUUCGGAUCGUAAAGCUCUGUUGUAAGAGAAGAACGAGUGUGAGAGUGGAAAGUUCACACUGUGACGGUAUCUUACCAGAAAGGGACGGCUAACUACGUG